rnacentral:rRNA from 1 species
GGGGGAUAAAUUAAUAAAGUAUAAAUAAUAAAAAAAUUUUUAAUAUUAAAAUAUUUUAAUGGGGGUUAAAGUAUAUUUAAUAGAAAAAAUAAAAAAAUUUAUAGAAAAUUAGUAUUGUAAAAGAAAUUUGAAAUAUAUUGAAAAUAAAUUUAUUUAAAAGUAAAUUUAAUUUAUUGUAUCUUGUGUAUCAGAGUUUAUUAAUAAUAAUUUUUAUAUAUAAAAUUUUCUCGAAUUUAAAAGAGAUAAUUAAUUAUUAAAAUUAAUGUUGUAUAAUUAUUUUAAAUAAUUAAUUGGAAAUGAGAUGUUAAUCGUUUUUAAAUAUAUCUAGUUUUUUUAGAAAAAAAUUUAAUUUUAAAUUUUAAAAAGAAAGUAUAAUUUUAAUUAAUUAAAAUUAUAUUUUUAAAAUUAAAUAUUUUAAGGGAUAAGCUUUAAAAUAAAUUUUUAUAAUAAAUUUUAACAAUAAUUAAAAUUUUUAAAAUUUAUAUUGUUUAUAAAUUAUAAUUUUUUAUAAAUAAUUUUAAUUAAAUUAAAAUUUUAAAUUUAUUUAAUUUUUUAUUAAAAAAUAUUUUUUAAUAAUUAAAAUUUAGAUAUAAUGAUAAAAUUAGUAUAUAAAUGAAUAAAUAAUAUAGUUUAUUAUUUGAUAAUUUAAUAAAAGGAAUUCGGCAAAAAUUAUAUUCACUUGUUUAUCAAAAACAUGUCUUUUUGGUUAAUAAUUUAAAGUCUAAUCUGCCCACUGAUAAUAUAUUAAAGGGCUGCAGUAUUUUGACUGUACAAAGGUAGCAUAAUCAUUAGUCUCUUAAUUGGUGACUUGUAUGAAAGAUUUGAUGAGAUAUAUACUGUCUCUUUUUAAUUUAUAAAAUUUAAUUUUUUAGUUAAAAAGCUAAAAUAUAUUUAAAAGACGAGAAGACCCUAUAGAGUUUUAUAUUUAUAUAAAUUAAAAUUUUUUAUAAAUUUUAAAAUUUUAAUUUAUAUAAAUAUUUUGUUGGGGUGAUAAAAAAAUUAAAAUAACUUUUUUUAUAAUUUUACAUUAAUAAAUGAAUAAAUGAUCCGUAAUUUACGAUUAUAAGAUAAAAUUACCUUAGGGAUAACAGCGUAAUUUUUUUUUUUAGUUCAAAUAAGAAAAAAAGUUUGCGACCUCGAUGUUGGAUUAAGAUAAAAUUUAAAUGCAAAAGUUUAAAAUUUUUGAUCUGUUCGAUCAUUAAAAUCUUACAUGAUCUGAGUUCAAACCGGUGUAAGCCAGGUUGGUUUCUAUCUUUAGAUUAAUAAAAUAUUUUAGUACGAAAGGAUCAAAUAUUUAAAAUAGUUUUAUUUAAAAGAAUUUUAAUAAUAGUAGAUAUUUUUAAAUAUG